UACGAAGGGGGCUAGCGUUGUUCGGAAUUACUGGGCGUAAAGCGCACGUAGGCGGAUUGUUAAGUUAGGGGUGAAAUCCCAGGGCUCAACCCUGGAACUGCCUUUAAUACUGGCAAUCUCGAGUCCGAGAGAGGUGAGUGGAAUUCCGAGUGUAGAGGUGAAAUUCGUAGAUAUUGGGAAGAACACCGGUGGCGAAGGCGGCUCACUGGCUCAUUACUGACGCUCAGGCGCGACAGCGUGGGGAUCAAACAGG
rnacentral:rRNA from 1 species